rnacentral:sRNA from 1 species
AGAAUCGGAAUUCUCAAGGGUGGUCGGUACACUCCCAAUUAGAAGGGGGGUGAUGCCGAAUGACAGUUUUUGAAUCGUUCAUGUUUGCGAUUGGUUUUGCUAGUCUAGUCGUAGCUAUUCUGUCAUUUAAAUCAAAAAAAUAAUCCACCUUUGAGUUAGGGCUCAGGUGGAUUAUACUGCCGUAUAGCCGACCCCUCAUGAGGGAUCCGUCUAUUGUUGGACCGGACAUGUUUUC